AUGAAACCAGGGACCAAGGACAGCGACUCCAGAAUAGACAUUCUGACGAAGCUUCACGCCCAAAACGUCUAUGAAUUUAAACGACACGACGUUGAACAAGAGUUGCUGAGGCAAGAUCACUACCGCUCCAUGUUUCAUAUCAACAAAGGGAUAAGAACGGUUGAGAUGACGUUAAAGGAUAUAAAAAUGAUUAGUGGGUAUUGUCACCAAACGGAAACUCUCAAGGAGAAACCAAAAGGAGCCUUUCCAAAUCUGAACCUCGGAAAUAGUUUGAGAGAUUUCCGCAAAGGUAACCAAAAAGAAAUGAUUUCGAUUCAAAACUUGAAUGCCAAGUGUACCACCUCACUACCGAACAUUCGUCUGGACCACACCAAAGGAAAUGCAAAUGGGGACCAACAAAUCGCAUCUUCUUCGGGGUGUCCUUUUCGUGCCGCGGUAUUCAGCGCAGGAGUGAUAUGUGGUUCCCCUUCAGAAAGUGGAUUAAUCGAUGUAUCUAUCUCCUCUUUGUUGCCUUAUAACAAAAUCCGUUCCAAAUCAGUCAUUACAGUUAUCAACGACCGUAGGACUGGGAUCAACGGAAAUGGACCGCGCGGCUCAGCCUUUGGUACCAAGGACAGCACACGCACCCGCGUCACAACAGCCAUGUCCAAGACUGCCAUGUCCAAGACUGCCAUGUCCAAGACAGCCAUGUCCAAGACUGCCAUGUCCAAGACUGCCAUGUCCAAGACUGCCAUGUCCAAGACAGCCAUGUCCAAGACUGCCAUGUCCAAGACAGCCAUGUCCAAGACAGCCAUGUCCAAGACUGCCAUGUCCAAGACUGCCAUGUCCAAGACUGCCAUGUCCAAGACAGCCAUGUCCAAGACAGCCAUGUCCAAGACUGCCAUGUCCAAGACUGCCAUGUCCAAGACAGCCAUGUCCAAGACUGCCAUGUCCAAGACUGCCAUGUCCAAGACAGCCAUGAAGGAAGGCCUGAGAGAGCUUGUCCUGGAGUACAAUAGACAAAGGACUAUGAGCUAUAUUGAAAAACAAAAAGUAUUACGAGAAAAAGUGUCUGCUUUUAUUAAUGGACUCUAG
rnacentral:lncRNA from 8 species